UCGGUUUCACUUGCCUAGCCUAGGUAUGCUGAGAUAAUCAUUAUGUGAGGUGAUCUAUCCAUUUUCAGAGUUCCCUCAUUAGUAUCCCUCAUUGUUAAUUGCUAUGCUUAAUUGGAUACUCUGUGUUGUGUUGUUUGCCUUAUUUUGACCCAAAUAAACCACCCCAUUACCAUAUUUUACACUAAUGCCAUAUUUAAUCAUUGACAUAACUUUGGAGGUUUAGUUCAAUUAAAAAGAUGAUGCCAUGUGACUGGAAAGUAUAUAUGUUCAGAUUAUAAUUUAAAUGGAUACGGUGAUUGGCAAUAGAUAAAUCAUAUUAGCCUUGCAUUGCAGAUUAUUUCCUUUUUGUGGUUGGCAUGAAUGGCUUUUGUACUCAAUGGUUUAAGCAGUUGCUCUUUGAAAUAUAAUUUUUCUAUGUAAGAUCUUACCGGCUGUUCUAUUAUUUAAAAUCAUUUGCCAUGUUUGUACUCUUGCUGAAGUUUGAAGAGUUUCCCGGGGGUGGCGAGGAGUACCGGCAUAUCGAGUCCCUGGUGUUUUCCUCUACGAGCUGGGGAGGGCGUGUGGUUCUCUCCUCGUCGGUUUCACUUCUCCCCUUCCUCCUCCAUGGUGCUCAAAAAUAUCACUGACUGCGUGAAUUUAAAAAAUUUGUAGUCUUAUACAAAUAGAAAGAAUAUAUGAUCUAACCUUAUUUCUUAAUCCAACGGUAUCCUACUGCAUUAGUGUACGAGCUGUUACACACAAACAUGGCUUGAAGUUUUCGGAUAAAUGGGACAAACAUAGGGUUGCAGAUUGUAAAUCCAAGUUUUUUUCGCAAAUCAAUUUGACACUAAUCCUUAGAAAAAAGAUAUUUCUGUUGCAUAGAUUGCGUUGUAUAGGUUGUUGACUUGAUUUACAUCACUCCAGUUUUACGAUGGCACAAAAAUUAAUUUAAUUCUGUUAAUUGCAACUGCAACUCUUUCUCAUCACACACAAUGUUAACCUUAUAGAGCUAAGGUGGUUAUAGUUAGAAACCUCUACAAUAUCAUGGAUUGAUUUAGGGUUUCAAAAUAUUGUGAACUGUAAAACGUCUUAUAUUAUAGGACAGUGGUAGUAGUUAACAUGAUUGUUUCAGAUUCUGCCAUGGAAGCAUUUUACCCCUUUUGCAACUUUCGUUACACUAAAUUAGUACUGAAUUGUAAUAUUUCUUCUCUGGGUAUUUUACGUUACAGGAUUGGAACGAAAAGAAGAAACUACAGCGUCACAUAACUGCAGCAAAGAAGGUACUGCAUGAGAUGUAACAGGGUCGUAUUAUGGAAGGUUAGCUCUGAAUUAAUGUUCAUCAUAUGUGCUCUGUACUAAUGAUUGUCCUCAGGGAUUAUUCCAUUCAUAUUGCUCUGAAUUAAUCGUACUCUCAUGCUGCCUCAUUACCUUAUUAUGUUACAACUUUGCUGAAAAAGCCAUUGUUGGUAUCUGGAGUACAAACUGUAGAAUUAGGAUCCUCUGACAUCUAUUUACUACUCUGAAUUUAUUAUUAUUCAAUGACCAUAUAAAUACACAUUUCCAAAUAAUAUAUAUUAGUUUGUCUAUUCAAUGGUGUCAUUUUCCAUUUUUAUAGGCAUUCAGACCUCCCUGUUAUUUUUGUUCUAAGGAUGCACUUCAGUAUUAUGUAACUAUGCUGAUUUUACUGUCAGCAUAAAUAAUAGACGAGUUAAUAUUUCUGCUACAUAACUUUACACCGUAACAAAUCUGGAGACUUCUAACUGGAAGACACAAUUUUCAUUUUUGAAGCGAAGAACAGAAUCCCUGCUGUUCCACGGAGUGAGUACAGUUAAGGUAAAAAAAGGAAAAAGGAAGUCUGGAGCUCUCUCGGCUGUACAACAGAGGGGUUACUUCACGUACUCAUCAGCAGUGAGGCUAAUAUCAUCUCCAAUCAAGUGAAAAAGCAAGGGCGCAGCCUUAGUUUUCUGUUGGAAGACUUCUAUUUCUCUCAUUCCAGAGGUGCUAGCCUGUGCAAGCAGUGACAGUGUACUUUUUAUUGAUCUGAAUCUUCAGGCUUCAUUUUGAAAUUUUGGUCCACGAACGCUUGAUCGCAAAAGUAACAGGUAUCAUGGUGAGGCCAGUUUCUGUUUUGCAUGUUGCCUUAUUUCUCUUCUAUCUGCAGUUUGCUUCCACGUUCUAUAUGUUUGCGAGGAAAUUUCAAAUCGUUUUGUAUGCUCAUCAAUUGGUGCAUCUAGAAUAUGUAUGUGAACCGUGUACCUUACGGAUUCCUUAAGGGCCUCAUGAUUGUUGGUGUUUUUUUCCAUAUGAAAACACCAAGGUUAUUAUCCUAACUAUCAUAGUUUGUACCAGCAGGAUUAUCAUAACAAUUAUGCAAUUAUUUUCCAGGUGAUUACAUAGUUAAAGGUAGUGACUUUUUUAGUCCUAUGUGAUUUCUUAUCAACUGAGCUAUCAAAUUGUGCAUUAUGUACUUGGUCACAACGUUGUAACCGGCACCCUCGCGCGUUUCCGAUCUCAUUGGAUACUUUUGUACUUUAGUUAGAAGCAUAAUUGUCAGAAGCAAGCAUAAUGGCCAUAUGAUGAAGCCGAUAAGUGUUUAGUAGAGACUCCAAUCAAUUCGAUCUCUCCAUGAUCUUUACCGCAUAUGAUAUUUUCCUUCUGGGUAUUUAACUUUGUCAAGUGCAUGCUAUGGUUCAGAGCAAAAUUCAGUUUCCAGUUAUAAUUCAGUGAUUUUCUUACCUUGUAUUUUAUUUUGCAUAAUUGUAGAAAUUGCGGUGGCCAUCCGCGGAUCUACAGUCCCUGGUUUGCUUUGUCGAGGUAUGAUCUUUCAUAAUGUGUUGUAUCUUGCAAUAUUAUUUGAUUUGUUCUUGCCAUCAUUUUUUAGUCUCUUGCAAUAUUAUUUGAUUUAUUUCUCUCAUAAACAGAGCACAAGUUGCCCCUUCUAAUUGAUCUAUCUUGUAUCUAUAUGGUGCAGUGGUGUGUUAGAAUAUGUACAGUCCCAUGUUUUGGUUUCUGCAUUACUUUGUUGUUCUCUAAGCUGUACAAAUAGUGAGACCAAAUUAUGUUCAGUAUAUUCCUUACAUGGUAGAUCCACGGAUGUCCACCCCAAUUUCUACAAUUUUUUAAUACAACAAACUACCAUUUUUUAAUCAUACACUACCUCCUCUGACAGAGAUGGUCGUCGUCCCAUCUUUGUGGUUUAGGAAUAUGCUCUUUUAUUUUGCAAGCAGAAAAUUGAUUAAGGUUUGUGUGAUCAAGUUUAUGUGUUGCCUGCUAUGCAGUGUCCUGGGCAAGAGGACCAAGUGUGGGCGGGUAGGUAUCGGCAAGGCGGGCUGUCAGCAUGGUGUUGGAGUUGGUCGGUAGUGGUGCACCUACGCCACGUAUGGAUCAAUACUCUAGGAGGUUCCAUUGAGGCCCAGUCUAUCCAGGUAGUUUGUUAUACUACUGACUUAGAUACACUUUAUUUAUCAAGAAUUUUUGUAUAUCAUAAUAUCAAAGGCAAAAGGGUCUGUCUAUGGAUGCACUUCUUAUGGUCAUGUACAUUUCAGAGCCACUAUUAUUCAUCAAGAACAUAAUUUAACUAAAGCUCGUUAAAAAAAUUGCCCAUAGAAAUAAUCACUUUGGAUUGGUAGUGUCAAAAGGAUGCAGAACAUUUGUAACAUUUCUUCCCAUAUUCAUGAGACUUUCACUCUGCUGUUGCAUUAGUCAAGUUUAAUUUCAUUACAUAUGUGUGCAUGUAUCAGUUUUCAUAUUUAAAAUGAUAUAUUUAAGAAUUAUCAGAAAUUUUGCCAAAUUUGCUGGGCACAAAACAGAGAUCUGGAAGCAGGACAAACGUCACUGAUAUUUUGUUGGUCAUUUUUGGUGUCGCAUCUCAAAUGGAAUGGCACUCAUGGAGGCAAUUGAACCAAGCUAUGGCAUCGUAGUUUUAUCUCUCUAUUGCCACUGUUGGCUUUUGCUCUCUUGUGUUCCUGCUCAUAUUAUUGAACUUAAUGUUAGCUAAUUAGCUUUUGUAAUUAUACGACCGUG
rnacentral:lncRNA from 1 species